rnacentral:misc_RNA from 1 species
GAUGAAGAACGUAGCGAAAUGCGAUAAGUAGUGUGAAUUGCAGAAUUCAGUGAAUCAUCGAAUCUUUGAACGCACAUUGCGCCCCUUGGUAUUCCAUGGGGCAUGCCUGUUCGAGCGUCAUUUGUACCUUCAAGCUCUGCUUGGUGUUGGGUGUUUGUCUCGCCUCUGCGUGUAGACUCGCCUCAAAAUAAUUGGCAGCCGGCGUAUUGAUUUCGGAGCGCAGUACAUCUCGCGCUUUGCACUCAUAACGACGACGUCCAAAAGUACAUUUUUACACUCUUGACCUCGGAUCAGGUAGGGAUACCCGCUGAACUUAAGCAUAUCAAUAACGGAGGA